rnacentral:lncRNA from 10 species
CCCCUCCCGCGCCGCGCCGCGCAGACACAAUGGGCGCGGAGCCGGCUCUUCCUCCCCAGCGGCUGACGCGUUUGCAAAAAUAGCUCUCGGCUCCCGGAAUCCCCGCCCGGGUCCUAGCCCGCCCCCUGCCCCUCCGGGCCGCAGCCGUGGGCGACGCAGCCUGCCUGAGGGAGUGGGUCCCGGGGUCCCAGCUCUGUGGGCGCGAGGCGGGGCAGGGCGGCCCCCAGGGUGACUGGGAGAGCGCCGCUCUGGGGAGUGAGGGCGGCGAGGCUGGGGCCUCCAAACCCCAGAAGGGACGGGACGGGGCUGGCCUCGGUGAGCUGCCAGCCUGCGCUCUGGAUCCAGCCGGGCGCGUCCCCUCCCACCCUCGCGCCGCGGCUGUCGCCGGCCCCGGCCCCCAGUGACGCCCAGGCCUGUGCCCAGGGCACCCUGGAGGCCCAGCCUUUCUUGCCCGGUGGCGGCGGUUGGGGCAGGGUCGGACCUAGGCCGCGAUGGGGGAUUAGAAGACCUACCUGCCCCAAGUAGCUCGGACAGCUCACCCUCCCAGACACGCCUGGGCUACCUCAUUUCGUCCGCAUCGACUCUGCUGACAUCCCAGGGGAAGCGUCAGCAUUUCGGGAGAGCACCCCUUGCCACCCGACUUUGGGAACUGAGAACCACCUGCCCGCAGGUGAACUACUCCGCAGAAAUGGCAACACCAGCCCCGGGGGCUGAAAGAAAAUGUGUCUACAGCUUGGAGCUGGUGGCGCAGUGGGUUACAAACACUGAUAUUCCACGGGUUCCACCUCCUGUCACCUCAGUUCAAUGGUUUUAUUCUGGUUUGUAAACAUGUAACAAAUGUAUAUCCUCUCUGGGUGCGGAGAAAAGUGAGAGUAUAUUAUGGCAAACACACAGAUCUGGGGAGAGCUGCUCCGCAGGAGACAGCAGGCCGCAGCAUGGGCGACCGCAUCUUCCCAGCUCUAGCUUAUGAGACAGAAACGACGGAAACGGGGUCAAGGGAGAAGAAAAUGAAAAUGCUAAGAAUUUAUGAAUAAAAGCUAGAAUUUUAGAGAAAUACUUUAUCACCUUCUGUUCACAAACCACGAAAAGACAUAUGAUAUCGUUGGUACCAAAGCAUGUGAGAAGACCUCACCUGUAGAAGGAAGGACAAGCCACCACCACCCCUAUCCUUGGAAUUCCCAAGGUGGCAGCCGGAGCGACCAUCCACUCUACUGAGUGGAUUUGGGGCUGGAAACGAAGUAUCAGGCUGGAAAGGACCCUGCCUAUCAUUCCACCCAACGUUGUCCAGUGAGGUAACAAGGCCUAGGCGCCCGUGACGGCUAAGGCAGAACCUAGAGGCCCACUGCCUGCUCCAGGACCAAGGGUCUGUAUGCACAAAACUGGGCACCUGCCUGCCCUCUUCCUCACAUCCCACUCUACCCACACGCUAUUUCCUUCAAUGAGGAAUAAAGUGAGCCACCCGAAGGAUAGAGUUCAACAGAAAAUAUUGGCUGCACUGUGCCACUUACUUCAUUUUAAAUAAAAAUGGAAAUGUAUUCACUGACAUCACUGAAAAGUUAAGGAUAAAGGUCCUCUUCAGGCAUGGCUAGACCCAGGAGCUCAAAAGGAGUCUUUCGAGCAGGUGUCUCUCCAGUCCUCCUCCGUGUUCCCCUGUGUUGAUUCUUUUUCCUUCUGGCAGCCUUGGACUCACAUCCUUGGUUUAGAUCCUGGAAAGGAAAAGGUACAACUCUUUCCCAGUAACUCUAACCAAAGCCUGGAGCACGCACCCUGGAUCAAGGACUGCAGUCCAGGAGGAGGGAACACACCAGUGGAUGUGGCCCAGGGGUUGAAAUCGGGAAGGGUGGUUCUCCAAGAAGAAUCCAGGAUCUGUCACCAAAAGAGCAACUCUAGCAGGGCCGAGGCUGAGCCCCAACCCAAGAUGAGCCUUUGGUUUAGUAGCCUGGGACCUGGACAUUUGGAAAGAGACAGAUCAGACUGGAAGCCUCUCCAUCCGGCUUCCACAGAUUACCUUUGUGUUACUUCCUUUUCCCCUAGUCAAGACUUGCUUUAAGUUUUAAGGUGGUAGGAAGGAGAUAUUUUAGUAAAGUAUCCGAUGUAUCUUUUUGGUGCUAUGCUAAUUAUUACCAAGAGCCUCAGUGGUUUUGACUGCAGCCUCCACAUUUUGCACCACCAUGAUGGGGUUUAGCAAUAAAGGGCUGUCUGCUGUCCAGUAGGAAAAAACAGAUUAAUAGACAUUAAUAGAGCCUUCCAGAACACAGCCAUUAAACAGCAACUCACCAUAAUUGAAUAGCAACCACUCUACCUGCUAAUUUCACUCACCAGGUGAUAAGUUAAUUUUACAGUUGAUAAUUUAACUUCUAACACAUAAAAAUAUCAUUUGGUUGAGUCGACUGGUAACUUUCCUUCAAAUGUGGAUUUUUAUUGAAAAACACUGGAAUUAUGAAAAGGAAGGUAAUGUUUACCACUCAUAUCAGACAUGUAAGGCCUACUUUGAGCCUAUUUCUUCAUGGACAUACAUCAUGGCUAAAUUCCACUGAGUGGAAAAUAUUGGCUGCACUGUGGCACUUACUUCAUUUUAAUUAAUCAGAAGGAGAGAUUUUUUCAAAGAAUAGCAUGUACUUGUGUCUGCCUGAGAUGAAUUCCUCUUCCAGCAGCAGUGACAUUUCAGGUCCUCUCCUUUCUAUUCUUCAUCAAGAUGACUGCAUCCAGAGAAGAACUCAAUUAUUUCAAGCAAACAGAAGGCAAUAACUUGGCAGUAAUUUUGAAAUUGCAUCCUAAAAUAUUCUCUUUUUUUUCCCUUUAAGGGCUUUGAAAUAAAAUGUGCCACCAAUUAAAAUGACUUUUGAGUGAAUCCGAUGAGCAAUAUAUCAUGGCAUUAUUAUCUUUGCUUGAGUAAGGCUAAUAACCUAAAAUGCAAAAGGGAGCAUCCCAUUUAUUCUUGAAUAUGAUGAGUAAAUAAAGACCAG